rnacentral:rRNA from 1 species
GACGAACGCUGGCGGCGUGCCUAACACAUGCAAGUCGAACGGGACCAGGGGCAACUCUGGUUCAGUGGCGGACGGGUGCGUAACACGUGAGGAACAUGACCUUCGGCGGGGGAGUAGCCGGCCCAACCGGCCGGGUAAGUACCGCGUACGACCAUUCGGGGACGAUCCCUCGGAUGGUGAAAGACAGCAAUGCGCCGAUGGAGUGCCUCGCGGCCUAUCAGCUAGUUGGUGAGGUAACGGCNCACCAAGGCGACGACGGGUAGCUGGUCUGAGAGGAUGGCCAGCCACAUUGGGACUGAGACACGGCCCAGACUCCUACGGGAGGCAGCAGUGGGGAAUAUUGCGCAAUGGACGAAAGUCUGACGCAGCGACGCCGCGUGUGGGAUGACGUC